GAUGAACGCUAGCGGCAGGCUUAACACAUGCAAGUCGAGGGGUAUUGGUUUUCGGACCAAGAGACCGGCGCACGGGUGCGUAACGCGUAUGCAAUCUACCUUUUGCAGAGGGAUAGCCCCAGAGAAAUUUGGAUUAAUACCUCAUAGUAUAGUACUUUGGCAUCAAGGAACUAUUAAAGUCACAACGGCAAAGAUGAGCAUGCGUCCCAUUAGCUAGUUGGUAAGGUAACGGCUUACCAAGGCUACGAUGGGUAGGGGUCCUGAGAGGGAGAUCCCCCACACUGGUACUGAGACACGGACCAGACUCCUACGGAGGCAGCAGUGAGGAAUA
rnacentral:rRNA from 1 species